CCUACGGGUGGCUGCAGUGGGGAAUAUUGGACAAUGGGGGGAACCCUGAUCCAGCCAUGCCGCGUGUGUGAAGAAGGCCCUCGGGUUGUAAAGCACUUUCAGUGAGGAAGAACGCCUGGUGGUUAAUACCCAUCAGGAAAGACAUCACUCACAGAAGAAGCACCGGCUAACUCCGUGCCAGCAGCCGCGGUAAUACGGAGGGUGCGAGCGUUAAUCGGAAUUACUGGGCGUAAAGCGCGCGUAGGUGGCUUGAUAAGCCGGUUGUGAAAGCCCCGGGCUCAACCUGGGAACGGCAUCCGGAACUGUCAAGCUAGAGUGCAGGAGAGGAAGGUAGAAUUCCCGGUGUAGCGGUGAAAUGCGUAGAGAUCGGGAGGAAUACCAGUGGCGAAGGCGGCCUUCUGGACUGACACUGACACUGAGGUGCGAAAGCGUGGGUAGCAAACAGGAUUAGAACCCUAGUAGUC
rnacentral:rRNA from 1 species